AUUGUUUAAAAAUACACGGGAGGAUAUCUUGCCCUGCACGAUCUCUUCCUCCUCUCCCCUCCACGAUCUCUUCCUCCUCUCCAUUAUCUCUCUUCCAGUUUGUCAAAAAAAUAUCUCUCCCAAUUGAAACACAAAUCCAUCCAGAUCUCUUCCUCUUGAUUAUCUCUCUCCUCCCCAAUGAAAAACAAAUCGAUCUUCUCUCUCAAACAGAAGGUUUACGAUUGCAUCGACCAUCACUUUUCCUUUGGAUUCCGAUUCAAGUUUUUUUCUAUUGUGCCUUCUCAAAGUUUUGUACUCUCCACGGGUUGGAUCCUAGAUUUUCUCAAGUUCGUCAUGGAGAUCAGGUGUACAAUUGAAUCAACUGUGGCUUUCCCUUUGGAUUUGGAUUCAAUUUUUUGUCUACCGUGUCCUCUGAUAGUUUUGUGCUCUCUACGGAUUGGAUCACUUUUCUUCUCGCAGACAAUUUUGCGAUGACUCAUGGAGAUCAGUUUGAAGCGCACCAACUAUCCCCAUGUGCUCAAGAUUCUGCCACCCUGUGCCAAGGUUGUCUCUGGUCUGUUGAUAUGGUUGUUCGGUUGGUUAGAUCAUACAUGUUGCUUACAUAGUGCAGAUUCAAUGACUGAUGAUAAGGUUUAAUCUAUUUUUUCAAAUUAAAGCCAUGGAUUUGCCAGCAGCUUCCCUUGAGACUAAUCAAGUACUGCCACUCUUAAGAAUUUUACGAUGUUUUAUCUGUUUUAACCAAGUACUAAUUUUUUAUAUUCAGGUUAUGAUUUCUUUCUUUUUUGCAGUAUAUGGUUUAAAACAUUGGUGCGUGAUAUGGCAAUGCAAUUAGCCUCAAUGGAGAAGCAUUCCCCUAGAAAGUGAAGUUCAGAAUAGUUAGGCUACUGAGAGAAAUCCCUUGAAACAGAAGGACGGACUAAUUCGGCUAUGGGAUGUCAUUAACGUCGAUAGCAACGAUCUUAUUAGACUUGACAUUAAACUAGAUGAAGUGGUCAGCCUAUUGGUAAAAUUAUAUGAUUUGCCAACAGAAACAUGGUAUUAUGAGUUAUGUUAAUUAAUAUGGUCAGCCUAUUGGUAAAAUUAUAUGAUUUGCCAACAGAAACAUGGUAUUAUGAGUUAUGGUAAUUAUUAUAAAUAUAGAGGCAUCUUCUGUCUGCAUUAUUUGACACUAUGUUGGCUUAGCUGUGUGUGAUCUCUACGAUUUUACAAAUCCGUGAAAGUAUCAGUCAAUCCAAAAUUUGCUUGACCGCCAUUGCAGCUGGCCACCGUGGUGAUACCGGAUUCAUCACGUUACUGCUUCUUGGGAGGAACGCCGUCGCUGCACGGCAUGUCGACAUGCAACGCCAAUGCGAAGGCAUGUUCACUCGCUACCUUAUUAGUUAUUGUAAAUAUAGAGGCAUCUUCUCUCUGCAUUAUUUGACACUAUGUUGGCUUAGCUGCGUGUGUAUCUCUGCAAUGUUAUUAAUCUGUGCACGUAUCAGUCAAUCCAAAAUUUGCUUGAGCGCCAUUGCAGCUGCUCACCGUCGUUAUGGAAGAUUCAUCACGUUACUGCUUCUUGGGUGCAACACCGUCGCUGCACCGCCGGUCGACAUGCAAUGCCAAUGCAAAGGCAUCUGCAUUUGCUACCUUAUUCCCAUGCUUCCUGUCGCAGGCGCAGUCAGCUCGCGAAGUUCUCGAUGUAGGCAUACAUGUGAUGGCUUUCUCGAGCAGCACAUACAUAUAUGGUUUCCAUGUCAGAGUUUGUUGUUUUCAUUCUUCAGUCUUCCUUUUGAUGUUUUCGCAUUGUACUGAUUUUCAGUUUAUUCGAUACAAAUUUAAUUUUCUGCUUCUUGGGUGGAACACGGUCGCUGCACCGCCGGUCGACAUGCAAUGCCAAUGCAAAGGCACGUGCACUCGCUACCUUAUUCCCAUGCUUCCUGUCGCAGGUGCAGUCAGCUCAUGAAGGUCUCGAUAUAGGCAUACAUGUGAUGGCUUUCCACAGCAGCACGUACAUAUAUGGUUUCCAUGUCAGUCUGUUGUUUGAUUCUUCUGUUUUUCUUUCGAUGAUUUCCCAUUGUACUGAUUUUGAGUUUAUUUGAUAGAAAUUAUAUUUUUAAUUUAGGGGAAAAGAAUAUUUGGUUUGCUUUGUGUGUAAGUCAAUUUAAUUCGUUGGAGUAUGUCUUCAACCUUGAUCGUUUUGUCAUGUUCUACGUAUAUGUGGAUUUUGUUUCUCACAUUCAAUGUUGUGCCUGAACCUUCCAUAAUUUGGUUUUUCUUUAAGGAUCCAAAUAGAUUCAUUUUUCCUUUCACUUUCUAACCAUCAGUAUGCGGUAGAAUUUUUGUCUCCAGGGUUAUUAUAGUUGAAGUUAUGUAUGUUCUCCAUGUUUCCACUUAUUUCUCUGAAAGACGACGAGUUGUUUGGCGAUGCCAUUAAUAGCUGUGUAUGGUUGUCUCCAGGAUACAGAAAUUAUUUCCGCAAGCUAGCAUCAUUGUUGGACACGGGUUAUUGUCUGCAUCUACUCAUGUUUGAGGCAAAAAAUUUGAUAGUUAACUGAUUUUUCAUAUAAAGUUCCCACACACAUAAUGGAGAACAAGAAAGCCAUUAAAUUAAAUAUCUAGAAAGUUUAAGUUUAAGUUUAAAUACAGUAGUAGUAUUUUGGUAAAUAUCAUAUAUUGAUUCAAAAUUCAGUUUGGUCACGGUACAUACCAAAUUAUUUCAAGUUGGUUUCAGUAUAUGCCCCAUUAACCAAAUUGACCUGAAUUCAAGAAAGUGACGGCCACAUUUUACUUUUGUUCGUAUAUUAAAAUAUAUUUUGUCAUUUUAAUUUUUGGAAGUGACUAAUAUAAUCGAAGUGGUCAUGUUCGGAGAGCAAUACAGGACCAAAGGGAUGCACAAAAG